GAUGAACGCUGGCGGCGUGCUUAACACAUGCAAGUCGAACGGAACUUAUCGGAUCAAGACUUCGGUCAAGUGAAUUUAAGUUUAGUGGCGGACGGGUGAGUAACGCGUGAGGAACCUGCCUUUCAGAGGGGGACAACAGUUGGAAACGACUGCUAAUACCGCAUAACGCAUAUUGAUCGCAUGGUCGAUAUGCCAAAGAUUUAUCGCUGAAAGACGGCCUCGCGUCUGAUUAGAUAGUUGGUGGGGUAACGGCCUACCAAGUCGACGAUCAGUAGCCGACCUGAGAGGGUGAUCGGCCACAUUGGGACUGAGACACGGCCCAAACUCCUACGGGAGGCAGCAGUGGGGAAUAUUGGGCAAUGGGGGAACCCGUGACCCAGCAACGCCGCGUGGAGGAAGAAGGUUUUCGGAUCGUAAACUCCUGUCCUCAGGGAAGAGCAGAAGACGGUACCUGAGGAGGAAGCCCCGGCUAACUACGUG
rnacentral:rRNA from 1 species